UACGUAGGGUGCAAGCGUUAAUCGGAAUACUGGGCGUAAAGCGUGCGCAGGCGGUUAUGUAAGACAGAUGUGAAAUGCCCGGGCUUAACCUGGGAACUGCAUUUGUGACUGCAUGGCUAGAGUUUGGCAGAGGGGGGUAGAAUUCCAGGUGUAGCGGUGAAAUGCGUAGAGAUCUGGAGGAACACCGAUGGCGAAGGCAGCCUUCUGGGCCAACACUGACGCUCAUGCACGAAAGCGUGGGGAGCAAACAGG
rnacentral:rRNA from 1 species